rnacentral:rRNA from 1 species
UGGGGAAUAUUGGACAAUGGGCGAAAGCCUGAUCCAGCCAUGCCGCGUGAGUGAUGAAGGCCCUAGGGUUGUAAAGCUCUUUCGGCGGGGACGAUAAUGACGGUACCCGCAGAAGAAGCCCCGGCUAACUUCGUGCCAGCAGCCGCGGUAAUACGAAGGGGGCAAGCGUUGCUCGGAAUCACUGGGCGGAAAGGGCGCGUAGGCGGACAUUUAAGUCAGGGGUGAAAUCCCGGGGCUCAACCUCGGAAUUGCCUUUGAUACUGGAUGUCUCGAGACCGGAAGAGGUAAGUGGAACUGCGAGUGUAGAGGUGAAAUUCGUAGAUAUUCGCAAGAACACCAGUGGCGAAGGCGGCUUACUGGUCCGGUUCUGACGCUGAGGCGCGAAAGCGUGGGGAGCAAACA